rnacentral:pre_miRNA from 1 species
AGUUAAAAUUUCCAUCUAUUUCUAUUGUUAAAAUUGGCAUGACUGAUAGAAUAACCAGAUAGUUACAUAUGAUACGCCACGUGUACCUCAUGUUAAUAUAUAGAGAUGGAUGAAAUUUUUAAUA